UACGGAGGUGGCGAGCGUUAUCCGGAAUGAUUGGGCGUAAAGGGUGCGUAGACGGCCUGCUAAGUCUGGAGUGAAAGGUACCGGCUCAACCGGUACAGGCUCUGGAAACUGGCGGGCUAGAGAGCAGGAGAGGGCGGUGGAACUCCAUGUGUAGCGGUGAAAUGCGUAGAUAUAUGGAAGAACACCAGUGGCGAAAGCGGCUCUCUGGUCUGUAACUGACGCUGAGGUUCGAAAGCGUGGGUAGCAAACAGG
rnacentral:rRNA from 1 species